rnacentral:tRNA from 1 species
CGCACACGGCAAGAUUCGAACUUGCGCAGGGAACCCCUAAGAGAUAUUCUAAUCUCUCGCCUUCAAUGUUAUUUAACCACUCGGCCACGUGUGC